rnacentral:rRNA from 1 species
GCUCAGUAACACGUAGUCAACCUGCCCUGGAGACCAGGAUAACCCCGGGAAACUGGGAUUAAUACUGGAUAGGUCAUCUCAUCUGGAAGGAGAGAUGGCUUAAAGGGGUGUGUGAGCUUCUUUCAUACAUCUGCUCCAGGAUGGGACUGCGUCUGAUCAGGCUGUUGGCGGGGUAAUGGCCCACCAAACCAGUAACCAGUACGGGCCUUGAGAGAGGGGGCCCGGAGAUGGACACUGAGAGAAGGGUCCAGGUCCUACGGGGCGCAGCAGGCGCGAAACCUUCGCAAUGCGCGAAAGCGUGACGAGGUUAAUCCGAGUGGUUCCCGCUGAGGGAAUCUUUUGUCGGCUCUAAAAAGGCCGGCGAAUAAGGGGAGGGCAAGUCUGGUGUCAGCCGCCGCGGUAAUACCAGCUCCUCGAGUGGUCGGGGCGAUUAUUGGGCCUAAAGCAUCCGUAGCCGGUUCUGUAGGUCCUCUGUUAAAUCCAACGGCUUAACCGUUGGCCCGCAGAGGAUACCGCAGGACUAGGAGGCGGGAGAGGCAGACGGUACUCUACGUGUAGGGGUAAAAUCCUUUGAUCCGUAGAAGACCACCAGUGGCGAAGGCGGUCUGCCAGAACGCGCUCGACGGUGAGGGAUGAAAGCUGGGGGAGCGAACCGGAUUAGAUACCCGGGUAGUCCCAGCCGUAAACGAUGCUAGUUAGAUGAUUCCUUCGCAAAUCUCGAUCGAAGUGUCUCAGGGAAGCCGUUAAGCUCGCCGCCUGG